CAAAAUGACUCUCGGCAAUGGAUAUCUCGGCUCUUGCAUCGAUGAAGAACGUAGUGAAAUGCGAUACUUGGUGUGAAUUGCAGAAUCUCGUGAACCAUUGAGUCUUUGAACGCAAGUUGUGCCCGAGGCCUUGUGGCUGAGGGCACGCCUGCUUGGGCGUC
rnacentral:rRNA from 1 species